GCAAGCGUGCCUGAAAG
rnacentral:tRNA from 1 species